rnacentral:rRNA from 1 species
CGGGCAGUGCGGCGUGCUAUACAUGCAGUCGAGCGAACAGACGAGGAGCUUGCUCCUCUGACGUUAGCGGCGGACGGGUGAGUAACACGUGGAUAACCUACCUAUAAGACUGGGAUAACUUCGGGAAACCGGAGCUAAUACCGGAUAAUAUAUUGAACCGCAUGGUUCAAUAGUGAAAGACGGUUUUGCUGUCACUUAUAGAUGGAUCCGCGCCGCAUUAGCUAGUUGGUAAGGUAACGGCUUACCAAGGCAACGAUGCGUAGCCGACCUGAGAGGGUGAUCGGCCACACUGGAACUGAGACACGGUCCAGACUCCUACGGGAGGCAGCAGUAGGGAAUCUUCCGCAAUGGGCGAAAGCCUGACGGAGCAACGCCGCGUGAGUGAUGAAGGUCUUCGGAUCGUAAAACUCUGUUAUUAGGGAAGAACAAAUGUGUAAGUAACUAUGCACGUCUUGACGGUACCUAAUCAGAAAGCCACGGCUAACUACGUGCCAGCAGCCGCGGUAAUACGUAGGUGGCAAGCGUUAUCCGGAAUUAUUGGGCGUAAAGCGCGCGUAGGCGGUUUUUUAAGUCUGAUGUGAAAGCCCACGGCUCAACCGUGGAGGGUCAUUGGAAACUGGAAAACUUGAGUGCAGAAGAGGAAAGUGGAAUUCCAUGUGUAGCGGUGAAAUGCGCAGAGAUAUGGAGGAACACCAGUGGCGAAGGCGACUUUCUGGUCUGUAACUGACGCUGAUGUGCGAAAGCGUGGGGAUCAAACAGGAUUAGAUACCCUGGUAGUCCACGCCGUAAACGAUGAGUGCUAAGUGUUAGGGGGUUUCCGCCCCUUAGUGCUGCAGCUAACGCAUUAAGCACUCCGCCUGGGGAGUACGA